rnacentral:rRNA from 1 species
AAGAAAUAACAAUACGGGGCUUAAUGUCUUGUAAUUGGAAUGAUGGGAAUUUAAACCUCUUCCAGAGUAUCAAUUGGAGGGCAAGUCUGGUGCCAGCAGCCGCGGUAAUUCCAGCUCCAAUAGCGUAUAUUAAAAUUGUUGCAGUUAAAAAGCUCGUAGUUGAAUUUCUGCUGCAUUGCUUUUGCUCCUUUACGAGUCUUUGCAUUGUGGCUUAUUUCGGACUUUGUUUUACAAUGUCCGGAUGUUUACUUUGAGAAAAUUAGAGUGCUCAAAGCAGGCUUUCGCCUUGAAUAGUUUAGCAUGGAAUAAUAAAGUAGGACUUUGGUUCUAUUUUGUUGGUUUUAGGUACCAAAGUAAUGGUUAAUAGGAACAGUUGGGGGCAUUCGUAUUUAACUGUCAGAGGUGAAAUUCUUAGAUUUGUUAAAGACGAACUACUGCGAAAGCAUUUGCCAAGGAUGUUUUCAUUAAUCAAGAACG